UGCAAAGGAAGCCAGAUGC
rnacentral:piRNA from 1 species